CAGCCGCCACGGUAAAACGAAGGGUGCAAGCGUUACUCGGAAUUACUGGGCGUAAAGCGUGCGUAGGUGGUGGUUUAAGUCCGUUGUGAAAGCCCUGGGCUCAACCUGGGAAUUGCAGUGGAUACUGGGUCACUAGAGUGUGGUAGAGGAUAGUGGAAUUUCCGGUGUAGCAGUGAAAUGCGUAGAGAUCGGAAGGAACAUCUGUGGCGAAGGCGACUAUCUGGGCCAACACUGACACUGAGGCACGAAAGCGUGGGGAGCAAACAGGAUUAGAUACCCCCGUAGUCCCUGUCUCUUAUAA
rnacentral:rRNA from 1 species